GCUACGGUGGCUUAGUGGUUAAAGCGUCCGCCUCGGAUGCGGGAGGUCGUGGGUUCGAUACCCGGUCGAGUAAUA